CGGUAAUUCCAGCUCCAAUAGCGUAUACUAAAGUUGUUGCAGUUAAAAAGCUCGUAGUUGGAUUUCUGCGGGGACGGAGCGGCCGGACGCAACUUGCGUCUCGAGCUAGCGCUUUCCCCGCAUCCUGCCGCGAACCGUGCUACCAUUAGUUUGGUGGCGCUGGGGAUCGGCUCGAUUACUUUGAGAAAAAUAGAGUGUUCAAAGCAGGCCACACGCCUUGAAUAAGUUAGCAUGGAAUAAUGACUAAGGACUUCGGUUCUAUUUUGUUGGUGUUCGGGACUGAAGUAAUGAUUGAUAGGGACAGUUGGGGCGGUCUGUAUUCCAAAGCGAGAGGUGAAAUUCUUAGACCUUCGGAAGACAAACAGCUGCGAAAGCGUUCCGCAAGGAUGUUCCCUUUGAUCAAGAACGAAAGUUGGGGGAUCGAAGACGAUCAGAUACCGUCGUAGUCUCAACUAUAAACUAUACCAGCUAGGGAUCGGUCAACGUUUAAUUAUUCGACUUGAUCGGCACCUUAUGAGAAAUCAAAGCAUCUGGGUUCCGGGGGGAGUAUGGUCGCAAGGCUGAAACUUAAAGGAAUUGACGGAAGGGCACCACCAGCCGUGGAGCCUGUGGCUUAAUUUGACUCAACACGGGAAAACUUACCAGGUCCAGACAUAGUAAGGAUUGACAGAUUGAUAGCUCUUUCUUGAUUCUGUGGGUGGUGGUGCAUGGCCGUUCUUAGUUGGUGGAGUGAUUUGUCUGGUUAAUUCCGUUAACGAACGAGACCCCAGCCUGCUAAAUAGCGCGGCUGAGCUUUGCUCGGUGCGAGCUUCUUAGAGGGACUAUGAUGCGCGAUAGCACAUGGAAGUUUGGGGCAAUAACAGGUCUGUGAUGCCCUUAGAUGUUCUGGGCCGCACACGGGCUACACUGGCGCCUGCAACGAGCAUAUCAGCUGGCCCGAGAGGGUCUUGGCUAAUCUUUUGAACCGGCGCCGUGCUUGGGAUUGACCUUUGCAAUUGUUGGUCAUGCAACGAGGAAUGCCUUGUAAACGCGAGUCAUCAGCUCGCAUUGAAUACGUCCCUGCCCUUUGUACACACCGCCCGUCGCUCCUACCGAUGAAUGUUCCGAUGAAAUUUUCGGAGAGCGCCAGAGAACGGGGCUCUGCCUUGCAGAUCUGGAGGCUCAAAGUCACUUAAAUCUGAACAUUUCGAGGAAGGAGAAGUCGUAACAAGGUAACC
rnacentral:rRNA from 1 species